UAUUUUCAGUAUUGCUGUAGACAAACAUCUACAUAAGACUGUUCAAUUGAUUGUUGUUUUAUAUCAAACAACUUUUAUAAUACUCAUUUUUAUUGUUACAAUAUUUUAUAAAUUUUAAAGAAUAUGAUAAAAACGAAAGAUAUUGCAGGUUUUGAAGGAGGCAGCUCUCUGGGAGGAGUUGGGGUACAAAAGGGCAAGAAGAAUGUGAUGUAAGUCUCUUUACUCAAAAUAUGUUUUUAAAUUGAAAUUAUGUAUCUUUUCUCAUCAUAAUGCAAUAAAAACUUAAAUCAAAGAAAAAAAAGAAAAAAUGUUUGCAACAAUUUUUGCUCAAGAUACACAUCAGUGUAAGAAAUGAAAAAAGUUCAGAUAUGAAGAAAUAAACUUUAGUCUUAAAAAAAGUAAGUCGGUAUAACUUACGUUUUUACUUUACACUCUGCCACCAAAAUAAGGAAAAGGGAUUUUGGCAUACUCAUUUCUAAGGGUUUACAGUGCCAGACAAGACUACAUAUAUCAGUGGGAAACUGUAAUGAAUACUUUGUUUAGGGAGGAAAAUAUGUCAAUAAUUUGUAAACAUUAGGGAAGGGGCUGUUUCUUUGUGGCUUUGCUAAGGAUCAAAGCCUCCUCUUUAGAUGAGAUUAUUCUAAAAGACAGUGGAUAAUGGGUUAACACAAAUGGCAUGAUUUCCUGGUCAGAAAAAUUUUGUUGUGGUGGUGGUGUUUGUUUGUUUGUUUGUUUUUCUACACACACACACACACACACACACACACACACACACACCCAUGGACAUGCAGGCACAAGCAUGCAGAUACACAGACACAUGAGUAUAACAAUUGUACUAAUUUCUGAUCACAGCUCAAAUUUGUCAUCAGAAUCAGAAAGGUCUUCUUUCCCAGCCUAUAGGAAGGGCUCCCAACAUUUGUCAGUACUGAAGUCUUUGCUCUGUGACCUUUUGUGUUGGCUGGGUUGAUUUUAACACAAGCUAGGGUCACUUCAGAGGGUCACUUUUCUCAAUUGUGAAAAGUCAGUAGCUAAGUCUGUAGGGCAUUUUCUUAAUUAGUGACUGGUGAGGGAGGGGGCCCAGCCCAUUGAGGGAGAUGCCAUUCCUGUGCUGGUGGCCCUAGGUUUUAUGAGAAAGCAGGCUGAGCAAGCAAGAAAGCAGGAUGGGCAAGCUAGUAACUGCUAUCUGCAUCAGCUCCUUCUACUGGGUUCCUGCUGUGUUUGAGUUCUCAUGCUGACUUUCUUUGAUGAUGAACAAUGCCAUUGAAGUGUAAGCAAUACAAAUACUUCACUCCCCAAGCUGCUUAGAUCAUGGUGUUUUAUCACAACCCUACCCAGGACACCUUUGAGUCAGAUUCUUCUACACCUGUAUAUUUUAAGAGUCAAAGGUUAUGGAAAUAGUUUGCACCCUUAAUACCAUACACCAAGUGCCUCCCUAGGUCCAUGUUAAAGGCAUGAUUUCCAGUGUAGCACUAUUGACAGGUGUGCAAUGUUUAAGAGGAGGGUCCUACAGAAAGUCCUUAGAUCAUGAGUGGUAAGGCCUUAAAAGGAAUUGUAGGAACUUGUUCUCUUUCCUUGUUCUUCUGCUUCUCAACCUCUGAGGCCAUUAUUUUUGUUCUGCCAUGAUGCACUUUUUUUCACAGAUGUCCAAGCUAAUGAAUCCUGCUGACCUUGGGCUGGAAACUCCAGAAUUAGGAACCCAAAUAAAGCCUUUCUCUUUAUAUCUUUGUAUUUAAUUGCCUAAGGUAUUUUGUUAUAGUAAUGGGAAGCUAACACAAAUUUGUUGAUAUUAAUGCCAAAGCCAAAGCC
rnacentral:lncRNA from 1 species